GGGUUAGUAACUUAAUUGGUAAAGUUUCUUCUUGUCGAGAAGGAUUAUGCCGGAUCGUAGCCGGUCUGACCCG
rnacentral:tRNA from 1 species